rnacentral:rRNA from 1 species
UACGGAGGGUGCGAGCGUUAAUCGGAAUUACUGGGCGUAAAGGGUGCGUAGGUGGUUUAGUAAGUUAUCUGUGAAAUCUCUGGGCUUAACCUAGAAAGGUCAGAUAAAACUGCUAAACUCGAGUAUGGGAGAGGGCAGUGGAAUUUCCGGUGUAGCGGUGAAAUGCGUAGAGAUCGGAAGGAACACCAGUGGCGAAGGCGGCUGCCUGGCCUAAUACUGACACUGAGGCACGAAAGCGUGGGGAGCAAACAGG